UCCCGCGGCUGCGCAAACUGUUGGGCCUAGGUCGGAGGUUUAGCGGGGACCCGGCGGGUAUGUAGGUGGCUGGGGCGGCGUGGGCGGUAGGAAAGCGGGGAACAGCGAGUGUAGAAGGACUGCGUUCUCCAGGUUCCCUGAGCAGCUCCCAGUGAGCCUGCAGUAUUUUCCUUAUAUGAUCAGGCCCCGUUGUGGGCAGCGCUGCAUGCCUGGAGCCUGAGAGGAUUAUGAAAUGUGCCUGGCAAAGUGGAGCCCAGGGACCUGGUGCGGGAGAAUUAGAGGUGAAGGCCAAGCAGGUGAGGCUAGGCUAGGAAGAAGUCGAGGGUGACUUCCUCCGUAACGGUGAGCCCUGGCCAAUGAUGACUAGACCACUGCGCAAUCUGAGUUCUGGGAACCAGGUGAUGGAGUGUGCUGUAACAGCAGACUGAGGCCGGCAAGCCGCAAGCAGACUGGGCAGAGAGUUUUUCUGGACUUGUGAAGUGAAUGGACUACCUCCUAAAACAGUAUUUUUCCAUCUUCCUUACGUCUGAUAACUGGGACAGCAUUUUUAGCAUAAAUCUUUCAUAAAUCUAGGACUACACAGGACUUGAGCAAUUGUGGACUUUGCUUUGAAUUUGCUUCAGAAGUCAAUACUGACAAUGUUUGGUCUGGAGGUCAGCUGUGCAAUGAUGUCUGAUUCACCAGUCAUUAACAUACAGCUUUGAGAAGCUUCUCAGAAGGCCUCAACAUGGAUUUUCUUAAAACAUUUUCAGGAGCUCAUUUAUGCUUACCAUUUGUCAAUCUGAGAAAAAUAUCAGUAUCUACCAUUAUCAUGGUUAUUAGUACCAUUGUUUGUUACAAAUCCUACCAGGGCAAUUGAUAUCACAUUAUUUUGAUAUUAUGUUAAUUUGGACAUUUCUCCAGUUAUAUGUAAAGAUCAAAAUUAGGCAGCUUCCAUUUUAUAGAACUGGCACCUUUUAUGUGGCCAACAGAGACUACUUGGUGGCUGUAGAUUAUGAUGUAUAUUUGUUUAGAUUGAAAUCAAACCUUAAAAAAUAAUCUUCCAUAUUUCAAGUGUUUUUAUUCUGAGAAUAGAUACAAAAAUUGACAGAGAUGUGUUUUAUUUUGAUUAGUCCAGCACUCUCUCCAUCUCUGAUUUGAUCCACUUUUACCAGAUUUAACAGGUCCUCAGAUUCACACAACUGCAUGUAUUUCCUUGUUGUGCUCAUUGGAAAUUGAGCUGAUGCUGGAAAGGUGCAUCUUCAGACUUCAUUGAGGAAUUCUAGGUUUAGACAUGCUGGAAUGUGGAUUGAGUCCAUAGUCAGAGAAGAUGGAUUAAAUGGAAACAAAACAGGAAACAUGUGUUUGAAGUCUAACAGCAGUUGCUGAGGGUCAUUCCGGUCUUGUAGUUGUGCCUAUAGGAAAGAGUACCACAGAUAAAUAUUUAGUACACAAAAGUGAGUUGGCAUACAGGAUAGAAAGAUCUCUAAGAUAAUCAAAGAGGACCUUCAAGACCAGGAAAACAUGGGGAUCCUAUCUCCAUGGUAGUUACUGGUGAGAGAAACCCUGGUUUAGGCUUGGAGAUCAGAUAAUUAUUUUUUCCAGUUCUAGCAUUAUUUACAUUUUUAUUCUACAAUAAGGAAGAAAGUAAAAAAUGACAGGUGUAGGCCAUGUGGUGAAGCACAGUAGUGAAGUGGAACAGGUCAUAUGUUUCAGAAGCAGACAACAUUGACAGUUAAUGUGUGUGAAUCAUGCAGGUAGAAAUUGUACUUUUUAAAAAGUCAUUGAACUGUUCACAUAUAACAGAGAAUAAAAUAAUAUACCUCAAUUUUGUGAACACACAAAUCAUCCCAUUCUAGAAUGAGAUAAGAUUUUCUCUUUGGGACAACAUACUACAACAUACUACUUUGCUUCCAAUAGUAACAACAUUUUCAAGAUGAGGUAUUAGUCAGCUGGUGUCUGUUGAUAGCAGGAUGUGAGCAUUAAGGAGUUCAGGUGGCUCUGCCCCUACAGUCUUGAUAGUUACAGCUCACAUGGUCGCUCUGUUGGCCUGGCUCUGCUCAUUCCUGUGACUUCCCUCAGCAGAUGUUCCACAUUCCUGGCUUCUUCAAGUCCCUGGGGUCUUUGAUGCAGCUUCAGUUUCACAGAUUUGUGCACUGGCUUUUCAGCAGGGAUUCUAACCCUGUUAAACACUGCUGCCUGCAGGGGUUCUAAACCUGUGAAAUAUUGCCUGGUUUCCCAAGCUCUCCUUGGAAGUCUCAGUGGAAGCCUCCCUGACCCCACAGCUCUUGCAUUUUGCAUGCACAGCUCUUGCAUUUUGCAUGCUUGCUAAAAGUAUCCUGUAGAGGCCAUUAAGGUCUGGCAUCAGUUCAAGCAGCAGCAAGGCUGCCUUGGUGGUGGCUGCCGUGCUUUCUGAGUGGCUGGAUGGCUGAGCACAGUGAAAUCAUCCUGAAGAAAACAUCCCUUAAGCAUUCCCUGUCUGUGCAAAGGGCCCAGGGACUCUUCUCAAGUAAAAGGCUUAUACUUUUAUAUCCUUGAACCUGUGAUGGGUGGGGUCUUGCUGAUUUCUGAGACACCCUCAAGGCCUCUUUCUUCUUGUCCUGGUGCAGAGUAUUUGGCUUCUAUGUGAUGAUUCUACUUUUCUUAACAACCACACCUUCCAAUUUUAAAUAUGUUUUUCUGGCCCAAUGAAAGUUUUAAAAAAAUCUUUUGCCUUGAGAUCCCACCUACCCCAGAUCACUUGUCUGUCACUUUUAAACUCAGUUCACCCAAGUUUUAUGGCAUGAACAAAAAGCAGACAAAUUCUUUCCCAAAAUGUAAAAUGUGUGCCCACUAGUCCAAUUCCAAAUAGAAUUGGACCGAUACCUCAUGAACAUAGUCUUUACUGUCUACAUUCCUGUCACCAUUCUGGUUGUCUGAGUUCCAAGGAGAAUUGGUCAUUAAGCUCUGCUUACAGCAUUCCAGUAAUUGCUUCUCCAAGCCCUUCCAAACACUUUCUACAAACGAGUUCCAAAGGAUUCUGAACCUUAUGGGCACACAGAGUCACACCAAUAACCCUACUUUUCUGAUACCAGUUCUUUUGAUUAGUCAACUUCCUCUCAAUGUGACAAAAUCAGAAAAGGUUUGUUGUGGCUCACAGUUUCAGAAGUUUCAGUUAGUGGCUGGCUAGAUCUAUUGUUUUAGGCCAGUAGUAAAGUAGAUAUACCAUGGCAGAGGAAAGCGGCUCACCUCAUAGCAUCCAGGAAGCAGAGAAGAGGCCUGAGAGAGCCCAAGAAGUCCUAUCCUUGAAAGGUACACCUUCAAUAAUUACUUCUUCCGACUAGGUCCACCUCCUAAAUAGCCCAUUUAGCUAAGAACUUACCAAUUGAUUAAAAGCAUUCUCACAAUCCAGCCACCUCUCUGGGUCAUUCUUAAUUCAGUCAAGUUAACAGAGAUCAACUAUCAUAGGCUAUAACUUGUUAGCGGUUUCAUCAUUUCUCCACCUUAGAGAUGAGAAUCCCAAGAGAUAUUAAUGUGCUCACCUCCUCUAGGAGUCAGCUGUUACACUCAGACCAUCGUUGGUAAAUACAUGGUAGCAUUUGAAAAGUGCUGGGAAACAGACUUAUGGAAGGAAAUCAGUUUGAAAGUAGUUUUAUGAGGUUGUUUUAUAGUACUGCAGAACCUCAAACCAUCCAGGUCUUCUUAAAAUAUCUGGAUAAUGAAGGCGAAGUUGUCCUUAUGUUCCCAGAAAAGGGUCACAAAAUUCUCAAAUUCAAGCUCUUAAGAUGGGUUAAAUUUUAAGGUAACUUUAAUAGUUUUAGGAAGGAAUUUAAAAUGAGCAAAAUUUAGAAGACAUAAGAAUGUUUAGGGAAGAAUAAUCGAUACACCUCACUAAUUCAGGCUACCAAAAGAGUGGCCUCAUGGAAAAAUCACUCUGGGAUUGGUGAUUGCUCACACUCAAUCCACUCUGAGCUUUGCUAUGUUUGUUACUGUGAAUGUUGCAUACAACAUAUGGAAGUGUACUGAAUAUGUAAAGUGGGAGACACUGGAAAAGAUCAUUCUGACAGUCCUUAAACUCCUUUCACUUCUUGUUAUGGUUGAUACAUUUUGUACCUUGAGAAGUUUAGAAGUUUAACAGACUCGGCAGGCAGCCAGGAUCCUUUCUUUGUAAAUAUCCAUGUCCUGUGCUACACCCCCGCUCUGCAGGGGGUUGGCGUGGUCUGUAUACAAUAUAAGGGGGGAAAAGAGGCUUGCUCUUCCCGCCUUUUGCUCUGGCUGCUUUUGAUGGUUACUGCCAAGUGUUGCCCUGGAGCCAUGCCACCUGUCUACCGUGGAACCAAAUUAUGGACUGAAACCUCCACAAACUAAGCUAAAUAAACUUUUUGUUCCUUCA